rnacentral:misc_RNA from 1 species
AUUAUUAUUGUCCAUAAUAUCACUACUCGUUUGUCUGUAUGUCGUGAACUGCGGUUGAGGUAUGUACCUGAUAUUUAUAGUACAAAAGGAUAGAGAAGUUGACUUGGAGAAUGCCAAGAAAUAAAGGUGGAGAAGAAGUUAGUGGUUGAAAACAUGGAAAGUAAAGGAAGGUUGGUAAUGUAUAGCUAUGGAAAUAGAGAAGUGGGAUGUGGGACAUUGCAACAAGCCUUG